CGACUAAGCGUACACGGUGGAUGCCAUGGCAGUCAGAGGGGAUGAAGGAAGUGAUAAUCUGCGAAAAGCGUCGGUAAGGUGAUAUGAACCGUUAUAACCGGCGAUGUCCGAAUGGGGGAACCCAGUGCAAUUCGUUGCACUAGCGUUAACUGAAUACAUAGGUUAACGAGGCGAACCGGGGGAACUGAAACAUCUAAGUACCCCGAGGAAAAGAAAUCAACCGA
rnacentral:rRNA from 1 species